rnacentral:misc_RNA from 1 species
GAUGAAGAACGCAGCGAAAUGCGAUACUUGGUGUGAAUUGCAGAAUCCCGUGAACCAUCGAGUCUUUGAACGCAAGUUGCGCCCGAAGCCUCGGCUAAGGGCACGUCUGCCUGGGCGUCACGCAUCGCGUCUCCCCCAAACCGCCAAGGCGGAGGGGAAGGAAGAUGGCUUCCCGUGCCUCACCCGGCGCGGUUGGCCUAAAUUUGGAGCCCGCGGCACUUAGCUCUCGUGGCGAUAGGUGGUGAACAAGGCCUUGGCCGUGCAAACAACCCGCUGCGAAUCUCUUUGUCACGUGCGCUCGUCGGACCCUUUGAAGUUGCCUUCGGUGACUUAAAACCUUUGCGACCCCAGGUCAGGCGGGGCUGCCCGCUGAAUUUAAGCAUAUCAAUAAGCGGAGGA